rnacentral:rRNA from 1 species
UACGAAGGGGGCUAGCGUUGUUCGGAAUUACUGGGCGUAAAGCGCGCGCAGGCGGUCUUCCAAGUCAGUGGUGAAAGCCCGGAGCUCAACUCCGGAACUGCCAUUGAAACUGUGAGACUUGAGGAUGAGAGAGGUGAGUGGAAUUCCCAGUGUAGAGGUGAAAUUCGUAGAUAUUGGGAAGAACACCGGUGGCGAAGGCGGCUCACUGGCUCAUUUCUGACGCUCAGGCACGAAAGCGUGGGGAUCAAACAGG